CAGAGGUCAGCAGAAAGGUUUUCACUAAAUUCAAAGAACUGAAUAUAACUAUUCUUGUAAAGCCACUAAUUAUCCCCAAGGGCAUAAUUCCUGUCACUUUAGCAACUGGAGAGCCCAGCUACACCUCCAAUUCUUCCAUUAAAGGUGGCAAAGGCAGCCAGCCACCUCUACAGGAGACAUAAAUUUAUGAUCAGUCGAUUAAUUUGUUAGCAGCAGCAUCAAUAGAGACUGUAUUGAUUCAAACAUGAGGAGAGUAUAUUGAAAUAUCCAGGCUGAAGUAAAAUAUGCCCAACAACAGAGGGGAACACCGAGUACCCUGCUGACAUUUCCAUGCGAGGAGAGAAUGCUUUAUACAGGAAUACAGUGGGAACAAAAUCAAAAGCCAUUACCUGGAAUCAGCCAUUGAUGCAGCCAAUGUAAACCAGAGCAGCUGGUGGUCCAAGCAAUGGGAAAUUUUUAGAUUACUCCAUAAAUUGAUGCAGCUUGUCAGAAAAUAAGGUGAGGAGCUUGGAUGCGAGUGAAGCUUAAUGAAGUAGGGCCUCUAUAUCAGCGUUUCCCUAUUCCUACUCAGUCUUUACAAAGCUGAUGCAAAAUAAAAUCAAACUGAGCCAGUGGUAGUGCUGUGCUUUCAUGCAGGUCUGUAGGCACCAAGCAGGAAAUACUGCUGUUCAAAACUGGCUCUUCAGAAGCAACCCUACACACUAAGAUGGGAACACUGGUAAGUUCUCAAUCAUUUGCUGCAGAAGCUUUAUUUGCUGCUUAAAAGUAAUUUUAAGUAUAGCAAAUGCAAUUGCAUUGUUACUGAAUAGGUAUCUUCUUUCUAACUCCAUUAGGUACAUUUCCCAUGCCCACUGGACCAACAUAAAUCUUCAACAGAUGAAGUGGCAAAGGAGCACUUUGUGGUGUGUGUUCCCGAGCAACUGAAGGUUCCUUAGGUUAUGUCUGCAGCACAGCCAACCCUGCUCUGCCUGUCCAAAGGAAAGAGAGGAUGGAUUCACUGAAUUCUUGCAGCAAAAGUACUGGCCCAGGAAGGACCACUUCUGACCCCAGCACCUCCUCAGAACAUGAAGAGAGGUUUACACUCUGCACUUUCCCUUGACAACCACAGUGCUUGGAUAUAAUCAAAGCGGGAUAAUCCACAAAACCUACUCCCUACCAGCAGCUCCAAGCAAAAGUAUGCCAUGUAGCAUAACUUCAGGAACAACUGGUAAGUUUAUAUAUGCAGGAACAGGGGAGCUUCCUGAAUUGUAAAGCUGGUUUCAGGACUCAGAACAUAUUCCCCCCCCUCCCGCCCCCGGAAGAAUAUUAAUUACACCAUCAGCGUGAAGGCAGGCACUCUCAAAAGAAGGGCUGGCUGAAAGCUUUUACAUAUAGAAAUAAUUACCAUAGAAAGCCACAGCCUUAUUUAGCCAGAUAGUUGAAUCUCAGUGGUUCCUUUAAUAGCCAAAGUGCACAGAGCUUCCGUGACACCCGACAGCUCAAAUUGUGGAGUGUUAGAAGUCUCACUGU